ensembl:lncRNA
CGCCGGCCUCCCCCGGGCCGCGGUUGCGGGCCGUCGCCAGGAUCCCUGCGCUCCGUGCGACUGCGCCUGGCCUUGUAGUUGCUUCCGACCUAGGUUCCGUAGCCAGAAAGACUGUUCCUGUAAAGGUGCCCUCACUCACUCUCGGGGCUCGAGGCAGCGGACGCUGGUGGUUUUCUCAUUCCAAGAAGGAAGGACUGCCUGGGCGCACUGCCCCGCAGUCGGUGAAUAUGGGUCUCUGCUGCUGAUUUUUUGUACCGCAGAUGGAUGCCUGUUGUUAUAAAUGAUAGAAAACGCGAACAAAGCUGAUGGUAAAGUCACAGCCUUUUUGGAGUAGUGCUGAAAUACUCUUCUGAAACCUGGUGCCUGGGGCAAUGUGAUGCUGGGGUUUUUUAUUACUGUGGGAGAGAGCAGUGUGGUAAAGUUUAAUUCUGUGCUAAUGUAUCUCUUCCUUGAGUGCAGUGUGCAGGCAGCCCUAAACAGAGAAAUGCACUGCAUUGAUAGAUGCCUUUGAUGUGAUUAAGACAUUCCCGGUAAAUGAUUCACCAGAUGGCACAUCAAAGGAAGCUGCUCAAAUAGCAUUUCAGUGCUUCAGAUAAUCUCUGAAGUGUGUGGGCUACCGGCCGGGCUGCAACUUCUUGCUCAGCUUCUUUGUCCAGUGUCACCUUGACUGGCUGCGGCUGCCCAGUUUGUUGCGAUGUGGUACAGAAGCACGAGGAGGGACAUCCAGGGGGGAUAGCUUUGAACCAUGCUCACCUCAGGUCCUGGGGUUCCUGACUGUUUCUUUGUUGGAGGAGAACUUCAGCAGGACCAGACGUACAGCUGUGACCCUGCUUUGGCACCCAUUUUCUCAGCUGCUAUUCCUUGUUCCAUUAUCUUCUCUGUUGUCUCCAUCCUGCACUACUUCUCCAGGUCAAUACUGAUGCUGGGGGAGAUGCAGAUGGAAGUGAGGUACGCUCAGCCUGGUGGGCUGCUGCCUGGGGAUCCAUCCACAUCUGGCAACACUGACCAUAAUGUGAGCCUUUGUGGUCCUGGGAAUAGCAAACAUGGAUGGCUGUGAGGAAGCCAGGUCAGCUGCAGGCUGAACUAUGUGGCCUAGAUCAGUUACAUCCGAAGUACUCAGUAAUUCUCCAUCCAAGAUUUCUCUAACUUGUACUGUAGAUGUUUGUUUUGCUGGAUUAGGAUUCUAUUCAUCAUCUCCUGGGUAAUCCCAUCUGGAUGUGCAGUUCAGUUGUUUUUUCAGUAGUCACUGAGGAGCAGUCUCACCUUGUGUGUGUUCUGCAGUGGAGAACGUGCAUCAUCCAUUACAUGUCUGAGCUUCAUCCCCUGUGAUUUAAAUCUGGAGUGGGUAGAGCCCAAUGCUGUCGCUCACAUAAAGCCCAAAUGUACACAGCCAUAAUGUAUGACUCACCUCUGAAAUUUUGCCAGGUGCUGGGGAGGCAUUAUCCUAUUUAUUUGUAUGCAUCUCUUUCUUUCAAGAUCUCUUUUAAACACUUUGCAGUAAGACUUCCAGAAGGGUAAAUGUUAUUUAAGUGAAGUCAGCAUGUCCCAGCCUGCCUGCUGCAGUGUGGAAAAUGUUCACAAUAUUCAGCUUUUUCAGGCAGUGAUCUGUACUUGCCAUGCCUCGUCCGAUAGCUGCUGAUUUUGCGUGGAAACUGAUAAGCAGACCUCUUCCUGCGUAAAUCAUACUUCAGAAGAGAAGUAAAUUUUGUUUGGUGGACAAUUCCGCUUUACUGAAGGUGGCUGAGAGAAACCAGUUUGCUCUGCAAUAACUACGCAUGUUGUUUAUCUUCCAAUUUUUUCCCAUCCUAGACAAGGAGAAUAGGUGAGUCAGUUCUGUUUUAUUUGUAGCCACUUUCCCCUUCAGGCUCACAAUGCUGAAAUGUUUGUGGGUUUUUUUUUUUUUCUUGUGGCAUAGAGCUGGAUCCACUACGAACAGCUUCGCUGCAUUCAUCAGCCUCUGCUCUCCCUUGUUUGCUCACUGGUUGGUUUUGAAGAGGAGUGUCGGAGAGGUCCUGAAGGCUGUGUGAUUCAGUGCUUCUAGUGCAGUGUGAGACUGGAAACUGAAUAUGUCCUGACUAAAGGAAAAAAAAAUGGAGUUGUGCAGCAUGGGCCUUCCUAUCAUUUCCUUGGAUUUCUUGCAGCCAGGUGGCUGUUAGGCUUGUCCCCAUGAAGAGCCUCCUGAAGUCAGUCCCAGAAUCUGCAGUGCGUGACGUGACAAAUGCUUCCUGUUUUGUCUCUUUUGAGGUCUUGUGGAGACACUGUGUCCACAUCCAGCGUCUUCUCAGCUGGAGGAAGGCUUCUCGUUGAAGCUGCCAACCACCUGUGAGGAUCCUUGUCCAAUAGGAGGCUUCUGAGGAACGUGACUUUGCCACCUGUGUGAGGACCACAGCUGAAUCAACUUCAAAACCAGUGCCCCAGGUCUCCCAGGCAGAAGCAGAGGAAUAUCUGGGAUUGGUCUACCUUGGCUAACUGUGCUUCAUAACUUGUUUGUGCAUGAGCAUCUUGAAAAGAGAGAGGAUCGUGGAACUGCAGUUUGAAGUCACACAGUGUCAUUCAACUUUUAAUGUUCUCAGGUUUGAACUCAGAAACUGUUUUCCAAAUUCACGUGGCAGUGGAUUUUUUGCAACUUGUGAUUUCUGUUACAAAACAUCCUUGGAGUGCAUUUAUCCCACAUCUGGUGUCUUUAAGGGACUAAAGUAUUUCAGUUUGAGAUGGGACUGACUUAAGGUUCCAAUACUGGGCAGAGAUAGUUUCUGUACUCUUAUCUGGGAAAAGGAAAACUAAUUCCUUGUUCUUUUUCAUCCUUUUACUGUUUCUUUUGGAAAUCCAAUGGGAAUAUGAAGUUGUUGCCAAAAUAGUUCAUUGAGGCCCCUUGUAUUUAUGUUUAAUUAGUGGUGCCAUAAAUAUUACAGAAAAGCAUCGCACAGAGGGGUGAGCCCAGUGCCAUUUGGAGCACUGGAGCAGCAGAAUGAGGGCUGCAAAAUGUUUAGUAAUGAAAUGAGAACAGAAGAUAAAGAAGCUCUCAAGGUAGACCUAAUCUGUGUAAACCUGAAAAAACAAGUGCUUAUGCUAAGCUACUUUGGCCUCUGUGUCUAAUUGUCAGAGAAAGGUAUGGAUGAUGCAUCCUAAAUAAUUUAGGCACUCGCACAUUUUGGGAUGAUACGUUCACUGUCUGAGUCCAUGACCGCCCUAGAGAAGAUGCCUGCUUUCAGACUGCUCAGAUGAAACGCAGCCUUCGAACUUUGCUUUUGUGAAGCCUUAGCAGGGUUAGGUGGUAGCUUAUUGCUGUUGGCUGGAUGAUUAAUUUUCACAUUAACCAGACAAAACUGAAGCAGAAAUGCAAGACAGUAAGUUAGUAACCUUGUUUAAUUUGUUUCGUAGGACUCAGUGUUGGCUUUCUGUCCAGCUAAACCAUUGGUUAGACUAAAUGACCCCAGCUGGCUGAAAUGAAGGGACGAGUUACUGGUGGUAACAGCUGUGCCUUUUAGGUUAGCUCGUCUCCAGUAAGUGUGCAGGUAAACACCCCAAAUCCCAGAGUUUCUGCCUGGUUAACCCGUGGUUUGCUUUUCAAUUUAAAAUGAACUCAGUAGAAACCAGUUAUUAAAAGCCUUGCAAAUUCUUUUCCAGGCAUCCAGUACAAACCUUCCUACAUUUCCACCUAGGUGAAAUCUGAAUAGGGAUUGAAUAGAUUUCUACUGGCACACUCUGAUGAUAUUCAAGGAGUAGGUGUAGCAAGCUGUGGGAACCAAGAAAUUAAGGAAAAUAUUGCAGCGCUGUCAAGAGUAGGUGUAGACAUUUUGUACCUGCUAAACUAAAGCGAUGGGCCUAGCAUUUAAAAUAAUAUGCUGAUGUAACGCUCCAGAGGAGGGGUGAUUUGGGCAGACAAUGAUCUUUCCUCUGCUGUGCCGUUUCCCUGACGCUAGAAGGAAGCUAAAUGCUUUGCAUUGCAAACAGAGUGGAAAAUAAAGGAUGUGCGAAGGCAGGAUUCAGCUGAAGAAGUC